CCUACGGGAGGCAGCAGUGGGGAAUAUUGCACAAUGGGCGCAAGCCUGAUGCAGCGACGCCGCGUGAGGGAUGACGGCCUUCGGGUUGUAAACCUCUGUUAGCAUCGAAGAAGCGAAAGUGACGGUAGGUGCAGAGAAAGCGCCGGCUAACUACGUGCCAGCAGCCGCGGUAAUACGUAGGGCGCGAGCGUUGUCCGGAAUUAUUGGGCGUAAAGAGCUUGUAGGCGGUUGGUCGCGUCUGCUGUGAAAGGCUGGGGCUUAACCCUGGUUUUGCAGUGGGUACGGGCUAACUAGAGUGCAGUAGGGGAGACUGGAAUUCCUGGUGUAGCGGUGGAAUGCGCAGAUAUCAGGAGGAACACCGAUGGCGAAGGCAGGUCUCUGGGCUGUAACUGACGCUGAGAAGCGAAAGCAUGGGGAGCGAACAGGAUUAGAUACCCCAGUAGUC
rnacentral:rRNA from 1 species